rnacentral:rRNA from 1 species
UACGUAGGGUGCAAGCGUUGUCCGGAAUUACUGGGCGUAAAGCGUGCGCAGGCGGUUGUGCAAGACCGAUGUGAAAUCCCCGGGCUUAACCUGGGAAUGGCAUUUGGGACUGCAAGGCUGGAGUGUGGCAGAGGAGACUGGAAUUCCCGGUGUAGCAGUGAAAUGCGUAGAUAUCAGGAGGAACACCGAUGGCGAAGGCAGCUCGCUGGGACGGUAUUGACGCUGAGACGCGAAAGCGUGGGGAGCAAACAGG